AAAUAAGUAAUAGUUGAGAUAGUUAAAAUAAGUUUUAUAUAUUUUUAUAUUUUUACAAUUUAUUACUGCAUGAUGAGUAGAAUAUUAUGUAUUUUCAGAUUCUAUUACAAAAUAUUAAGGCUCUGUUUGGGAUUGUGUGGAGAAUACGUUACGUACAAAGAGUAAGAUUGAAAAAUAUUGUGAUUAUUUUUACAUGUAAUAUCACGUUUCUUCCGUUCCAAUAUAUUUUUUAUAAUUAUACAUUGAAAAAUUAAUAAAUAUAUCUUUAUAUAGAGUAGUGCUACUAUACUCUUAUGAGUAUUGGACACUUCGUACUCAUAAGUUGUUUUCGAUAAUAGAGCUACCGAAUCGAUGAUCCACUCCGUUAAAUAUAAUCUAUAGUAUUUGAAACUUCUAAAAAAUAAAUUUUGUAAUUUUUUGAAAUCAUAAUAAAGUCCAUCAAGCGGGCAUAAAAUGAAUGGUUAAAAUCGAAUGACGUCCUCAAAAUGGAUGAUCGGAUUCUUUAAUUUAAGAUCGGAGUUAUUGAUCUUUAUUUAGGUAGUGAAUAGAAUUUUCUAUCAAAAAUUCAACUGAUUCUGAUUCUUUUACACCGUUAAACUAGCAUGUGUCCCAUACCAAUCGUUAGAAAUUGUCAAUUUUGUAACCUUUUGAUCGUAAGGUAAAUGAUGUCGAAAAAUUAUGAAAUUUGAUUUCUAGAACUUUUAAAUGCUCUAAAUAACGUUUAACGGUGUGGAUCGUCGAUUUGGAAGCUCUAUUAUUGAAAACAACUUAUGAGUAUGAGGGCGAUCUUACUCAUAAGAGUAUAGUAGCCGGACUUCUUUAUAUAUAUAUAUAGUUGGACUGGGCUACUAUUAGUAGCAAAAUCCCAUUGUUGCUACCAGUUUUUUAGCCUUUGGAUCAACUAUUUUCAUUAUUUCUAACCAUUGGAUUAAAUACUAUAACCCAGUGGGGACCACUCAACCCUAGGGGGACCAUUCAACUCUAACCGACUAAUAUCAUCCUGACCCUACAAUUUUUCAUCCAAGGAUUAAAAACUUGAUAGCAAAAAGAGCGUUUUACUAUUAAUAGUAUUCCAGCCUAAUUCUCUCUCUAUAUAUAUAUAUAUAUAUAUAUAUAGUCUUGUUUACUUGCAUUAGAUGGACCUAAGUAGUCUAGAAAAUAAAUAUUAUUUAAUUUAUAAAAAUUAAUAUCUUAAAUUUAGAAUAAUUUACAAAUAAUUCUUUUAAAUAU
rnacentral:lncRNA from 1 species